CAGUAGCCGCGGGAAAACGUAGGGUGCAAGCGUUGUCCGGAAUCAUUGGGCGUAAAGCGCGCGUAGGUGGUCAUGUAAGUCCGCUGUGAAAGUCAAAGGCUCAACCUUUGAAAGCCGGUGGAUACUGCAUGACUAGAGUACGGAAGAGGCGAGUGGAAUUCCUGGUGUAGCGGUGGAAUGCGCAGAUAUCAGGAGGAACACCAAUAGCGAAGGCAGCUCGCUGGGACGUUACUGAUACUGAGGCGCGAAAGCGUGGGGAGCGAACAGGAUUAGAGACCCCGGUAGUCCCUGUCUCUUAUAC
rnacentral:rRNA from 1 species